rnacentral:rRNA from 1 species
GACGAACGCUGGCGGCGUGCUUAACACAUGCAAGUCGAACGAAGUGGCGAACGGGUGAGUAACGCGUAAUCAACCUGCCCUUCAGAGGGGGAAAACAGUUGGAAACGACUGCUAAUACCGCAUACUGAAGGAGGGGAUUGCGUCUGAUUAGCUAUUUGGAGGGGUAACGGCCCACCAAGGCGAUGAUCAGUCGCCGGUCUGAAUGGAUGAACGGGCACAUUGGGACUGGGACACGGCCCAGCCUCCUACGGGAGGCAGCAGUGGGGAAUCUUCCGAAAUGGACGGAAGUCUGACGGAGCAACGCCGCGUGAGUGAUGACGGCCUUCGGGUUGGAAAGCUCUGUUAAUCGGGACGCGGUACCGGAAUAGAAAGCCACGGCUAACUACGGGCCAGCAGCCGCGGUAAUUC